GGGUGAGUAACACGUGAGUAACCUGCCCCAGGCUUUGGGAUAACCCCGGGAAACCGGGGCUAAUACCGGAUAUGACUGGCUGCCGCAUGGUGGUUGGUGGAAAGAUUUUUCGGCUUGGGAUGGACUCGCGGCCUAUCAGCUUGUUGGUGGGGUAAUGGCCUACCAAGGCGGCGACGGGUAGCCGGCCUGAGAGGGCGACCGGCCACACUGGGACUGAGACACGGCCCAGACUCCUACGGGAGGCAGCAGUGGGGAAUCUUGCACAAUGGGCGGAAGCCUGAUGCAGCGACGCCGCGUGAGGGAUGACGGCCUUCGGGUUGUAAACCUCUUUCAGCAGGGACGAAGCGUUUGUGACGGUACCUGCAGAAGAAGCGCCGGCCAACUACGUGCCAGCAGCCGCGGUAAGACGUAGGGCGCGAGCGUUGUCCGGAUUUAUUGGGCGUAAAGAGCUCGUAGGCGGCUUGUCGCGUCGACUGUGAAAACCCGUGGCUCAACUUCGGGCUUGCAGUC
rnacentral:rRNA from 1 species